CCUACGGGUGGCAGCAGUGAGGAAUAUUGGUCAAUGGGCGUAAGCCUGAACCAGCCAAGUCGCGUGAGGGAUGAAGGUUCUAUGGAUUGUAAACUUCUUUUAUAAGGGAAUAAAGUGUGGGACGUGUCCUAUUUUGUAUGUACCUUAUGAUUAAGGAUCGGCUAACUCCGUGCCAGCAGCCGCGGUAAUACGGAGGAUCCGAGCGUUAUCCGGAUUUAUUGGGUUUAAAGGGUGCGUAGGCGGGUUGUUAAGUCAGCGGUGAAAGUUUGUGGCUCAACCGUAAAAUUGCAGUUGAUACUGGGAGUCUUGAGUAUAGUUGAGGCAGGCGGAAUUCGUGGUGUAGCGGUGAAAUGCUUAGAUAUCACGAAGAACCCCGAUUGCGAAGGCAGCCUGCUAAACUGUGACUGACGCUGAUGCACGAAAGUGUGGGUAUCAAACAGGAUUAGAUACCCUUGUAGUC
rnacentral:rRNA from 1 species